rnacentral:rRNA from 1 species
GUUGAACGCUGGCGGCAGGCUUAACACAUGCAAGUCGAACGAGCGGCGGACGGGUGGGUAAGUUCUGAACACCUGCCUGAUGUAGCGAGAUAACUGGUGGAACCGGUAGCUAAUACCGCAUACCAUCAGAUCUGCCGCGAUUGGAUUAGCUAGUAGGUGGGGUAAUGGCUCACCUAGGCGACGCUGCCUACCUGGUCUGAGAGGAUGACCAGCCACACGGGAACUGAGACACGGUCCAGACUCCUACGGGAGGCAGCAGUGGGGAAUAUUGCACAAUGGGCGCAAGCCUGAGGCAGCCAUGCCGCGUGUGUGAAGAAGGCUUUCGGGUUGUAAAGCACUGUCAGUGAGGAGGCGGUACUCGCAGAAGAAGCAACGGCUAACUCCGUGCCAGCAGCCGCGGUAAUUC